CGCUCCCCAGGAGGACGAGAGGUGCCAAGCGGGGCUCUUCGCGACGCCCCGGGCAUCGCGGCGGCGGGCGGAGAGGAGGGGAAGGAGUCGGGACGGUUCGCCCUCCUCGGGCUUCGGGCAGAGGAGGCGCCGGGCUCCAAACUGCGGAGUCGAACGGGUGCAGAGUGAAGAAAUGGGACAGAGAGACAAAAAGUCCGAACCCCCCCGGCGCGGCCCCGUAAAAAAGAAAGGAGCCAAGUGAGCUCAAGCGAAGAGGGGGACAAAAAGAGACGGAGCUGGAGCGCGGGGACCCGCAGGGGCGAAACGGGAGUUCUGUUCUUUAUCCACUCUACGGGAACCACCACAGUUGCGGCCGCCAUCUUCCCCUCACUAGUAGCAGAAGCCCGGAUGUGUAGCACGCGAGCGAGGGGUCAAAGGGGAGCACCGCCCACGGGGAAUGCCGGGAGCUGCGAGUUCGGUUUUCGAUUUCCCGCCCCACUUUCCUCCCCACCCGCGGAAACCCGAGGCCCUGCUUCCAACCGGGUGGCUGAGACCCGUGGGUCCCUUUGCAGAGUGACUACGCCGACCGCGCCCCCUACAACCCUUGCCCUGUUGCCCUGGCAUCCCUUUAGAACAGGAAAAAGUGCCAUCCUCGGGCCGACUCAGCUUCUCUUCUUCCGUGAUACCUACUCCAGGCCACUAAUUCAAGCAUGUAUUUUUCAAGCGCCUAAUAUGUGCUAGGCACUGGGGGUAGAGAAGCAAUAAGCCACUGUGCCUACCCUCAGCGAGCUCACAGUCUGUGGGAAAGACGAGCAUAAGCAGAUCAGCUACAAUACACCCUACCAACUGCUGAGAAAAAAGAAAUUAAUCAGAAGAAGCAGCCAUUUACUAUGUGCUAGGCAUUAUGCUAAUACAAGGAAGACAAGCUAGCGAGGAAGAGAGAAAUUGACCCUUGGAAACCCUUGCUGACACCCUCUGUAAUCGGCUUCUGUCACUCUAACCUUACACAAGACUAGGGGGCGCAAGUACCAUAAGAAACAACUUGUUUACAUUACACCGUCUCAAAAGUAUCUCCCGACUAAAUACUAUUUCAAAGGCGAAAUAAAAACUUUACUGUGGGAAAACAUGGCGGACUCCGUCCUAACUAUGACGAAAAUCAGCACGCCCAGAAAUGGGCAUCAUGUGCCUCCUGAUAAGGUGCUAAGAAAAACACUAACCAAUUUUGUAGCGUUCAUCACGCCAAAAUUCGCAUACCCUGAAUUUAGUCAUGAGGGAGCAUCAAACAAACCCAUCUUGAGGGACAGUCUACAAAAAUAACUGGCUUGCUUGCACUCUUCAAAAUCGUCAAAGUCACUAAAGACAAAGAGACAUAUUGAGAAACUCCUCCGGAUUAAUAGAAACAACAGACAGGACAACUGAUCCCCAGCCAGAAAAAGAACAUUUUUGUUUUGCUAAAAAGGACAUUAUUGGGACAAUUGACAAAAUUUGAAUGUCUAUAGACUAAGUAAUAAUAUUAUAUCAAUGUAAAUUGCAUGAUUUUAAUACCUGUACUACGGUUAACGUGGAAGUCCUUGUUUAAGAAAAUACUCCGUGGAGUAUUUAGAGAUAAUGGGGCAUUACCUUGCAACUUACGCUAAGAUGUUUCAGAAGAAAACUGUAGGAUGAUUAAGCAAAUGUAAAAUGUUAACAUUUUAGGAGUCUGUGUGAAGGACAGGCAGGGAUUGUUCCAUUUGUGCAACUUUUCAAAAUAAAAAGGUUGUAAUGAUA